GCGCCCGUAGCUCAACUGGACAGAGCACCCGCCUUCUAAGCGGGAUGUUCCGGGUUCGAGUCCCGGCGGGCGUACCA
rnacentral:tRNA from 1 species